CUUUUCCUUUCCUGGGCUAGGUAACCGUUAAUGGAAUAUCCGAGGCAAUAAUUUUCUGCUUUGUGGAGUCAACUCGUCUUCCCCGAAGCGGAGCCCACAUAUAAAUUAGUGUAUACAUAUGCACUUACAGUUACAGAUACAGAAGGCGCAAUCGGAGCACUAAGAUCAUGGGGUGAAGGCACACUGUCAUUACACGAUGGGUAAGGUGCGGAGCUACACUCUAAAGACAGAUUCACUAGAUUCCGACCUUCCCGCUGCUCUGUAUAGUCCUAUUG
rnacentral:lncRNA from 1 species